rnacentral:rRNA from 1 species
ACGGGAGGCAGCAGUGAGGAAUAUUGGUCAAUGGGCGAGAGCCUGAACCAGCCAAGUAGCGUGAAGGAUGACUGCCCUAUGGGUUGUAAACUUCUUUUGUUCGGGAAUAAAGGAGCCUACGCGUAGGCUUUUGCAUGUACCGUUCGAAUAAGCAUCGGCUAAUUCCGUGCCAGCAGCCGCGGUAAUACGGAAGAUGCGAGCGUUAUCCGGAUUUAUUGGGUUUAAAGGGAGCGUAGGCGGCCUUUUAAGUCAGCGGUCAAAUGUCAGCGCCCAACGCUGGCCUGCCGUUGAUACUGAUGGGCUUGAAUACACACAAGGAAGGUGGAAUUCAUGGUGUAGCGGUGAAAUGCUUAGAUAUCAUGAAGAACUCCGAUUGCGAAGGCAGCUGUCCGGGGUGUAACUGACGCUAAUGCUCGAAAGUGCGGGUAUCAAACAGGAUUAGAUACCCUGGUA